rnacentral:rRNA from 1 species
UACGUAGGCAGCGAGCGUUAUCCGGAAUUACUGGGCGUAAAGCGUGUGUAGGCGGGAGUUUAAGUGCAAUGCGAAAUCUUGUGGCUCAACCAUAUAGACUGUAUUGCAUACUGGACACCUUGAGGAUGGCAGAGGCAAGUGGAAUUUGUAGUGUAGCAGUGAAAUGCGUAGAUAUUACAAGGAACACCAAUGGCGAAGGCAGCUUGCUGGGCCAUAUCUGACGCUGAGACACGAAAGCGUGGGGAGCGAACAGG